GAGGGUAUAGCUCAAAUGGUAGAGCACACGCUUAGCAUGCACGAGGUCCCUGGGUUCAAUCCCCAGUACCUCCU
rnacentral:tRNA from 1 species